CUCAGUUUCUGCAUACUGACAUGU
rnacentral:siRNA from 1 species